UGGCGCUUAUCAUGUUUUGCCCCUGGACCAACCUAACAAACUAAGAAGAAAUAUGCAGUAAUUUACGAAAUUCCAUAAUAACGUCACUAAUCUCUUUCAUCUGGUGAUCAAGUGAUUAAGAGAGUUAGACAAUAUAUGACGCAAAUGACGUGACGGUGAACAAGCGGUGAACGAUGGCUGAACAUUCUAUAAUGAAUAUUUGUCUACCACAUUCGAAAAACGCGUUUCCUUACUAAAUAUAUACCCAUGGAAUAGAGAGGAGAGCCGUAGAGGAAAUCGGUCGGUUUUCUACCAAAAUUAUCCAGGUAAACUGAGGCUAUCACUACCAUCAUCUGUGAUCAAAACCGUGAAACAGGUGAUAAGUUUGUGGCUAGAGACAUUAAUGGAAUACCACACAAGCAAUACUUUCUUUUUUUAAUUAUUUUUUUUCGCAUUUUCUUC